GCCUCCCGUGCCUACUGAGCUGAAACACAGUUGGUUUGUGUACACUGGCUCAGUUCAGCAGGAACAGGGGU
rnacentral:pre_miRNA from 5 species